rnacentral:rRNA from 1 species
UACGAGUUGUGCAAACGUUAUUCGGAAUCACUGGGCUUAAAGGGUGCGUAGGCGGCUACGAAAGUCAGGUGUGAAAUCCCUCGGCUCAACCGAGGAACUGCAUUUGAAACUGCGUGGCUAGAGGAAGACAGAGGUGAGCGGAACUGAUGGUGGAGCGGUGAAAUGCGUUGAUAUCAUCAGGAACACCGGUGGCGAAAGCGGCUCACUGGGUCUUAUCUGACGCUGAUGCACGAAAGCCAGGGGAGCAAACGGG